rnacentral:rRNA from 1 species
GAUUCGUCACACUAUCAUUAACUGAAUCCAUAGGUUAAUGAGGCGAACCGGGGGAACUGAAACAUCUAAGUACCCCGAGGAAAAGAAAUCAACCGAGAUUCCCCCAGUAGCGGCGAGCGAACGGGGAGGAGCCCAGAGCCUGAAUCAGCAUGUGUGUUAGUGGAAGCGUCUGGAAAGGCGCGCGAUACAGGGUGACAGCCCCGUACACAAAAGCGCAUGUGCUGUGAGCUCGAUGAGUAGGGCGGGACACGUGGUAUCCUGUCUGAAUAUGGGGGGACCAUCCUCCAAGGCUAAAUACUCCUGACUGACCGAUAGUGAACCAGUACCGUGAGGGAAAGGCGAAAAGAACCCCGGCGAGGGGAGUGAAAAAGAACCUGAAACCGUGUACGUACAAGCAGUGGGAGCACCCUUCGGGGUGUGACUGCGUACCUUUUGUAUAAUGGGUCAGCGACUUAUAUUCUGUAGCAAGGUUAACCGUAUAGGGGAGCCGGAGGGAAACCGAGUCUUAAUUGGGCGUUAAGUUGCAGGGUAUAGACCCGAAACCCGGUGAUCUAGCCAUGGGCAGGUUGAAGGUUGGGUAACACUAACUGGAGGACCGAACCGACUAAUGUUGAAAAAUUAGCGGAUGACCUGUGGCUGGGGGUGAAAGGCCAAUCAAACCGGGAGAUAGCUGGUUCUCCCCGAAAGCUAUUUAGGUAGCGCCUCGUGAAUUCAUCUCCGGGGGUAGAGCACUGUUUCGGCUAGGGGGCCAUCCCGGCUUACCAACCCGAUGCAAACUGCGAAUACCGGAGAAUGUUAUCACGGGAGACACACGGCGGGUGCUAACGUCCGUCGUGAAGAGGGAAACAACCCAGACCGCCAGCUAAGGUCCCAAAGUCAUGGUUAAGUGGGAAACGAUGUGGGAAGGCCCAGACAGCCAGGAUGUUGGCUUAGAAGCAGCCAUCAUUUAAAGAAAGCGUAAUAGCUCACUGGUCGAGUCGGCCUGCGCGGAAGAUGUAACGGGGCUAAACCAUGCACCGAAGCUGCGGCAGCGAACGUAUCACCCAAGACAACUUUACGGAGUUGACGAUUGACGGAGCGAAGCGACGUCAAAGCGUUCAUUAAAGUCGAGUUGGCUUAGGGAUACGUUCGUUGGGUAGGGGAGCGUUCUGUAAGCCUGUGAAGGUGUGUCGUGAGGCAUGCUGGAGGUAUCAGAAGUGCGAAUGCUGACAUAAGUAACGAUAAAGCGGGUGAAAAGCCCGCUCGCCGGAAGACCAAGGGUUCCUGUCCAACGUUAAUCGGGGCAGGGUGAGUCGACCCCUAAGGCGAGGCCGAAAGGCGUAGUCGAUGGGAAACGGGUUAAUAUUCCCGUACUUGGUGUUACUGCGAAGGGGGGACGGAGAAGGCUAUGUUGGCCGGGCGACGGUUGUCCCGGUUUAAGCGUGUAGGUGUGUGUUCCAGGUAAAUCCGGUUCACUUUAACACUGAGGCGU